rnacentral:lncRNA from 1 species
UCAACUAAUUAAAAUGUGACACGUGUUAAUGGGCCCCACAAUAAUUAUCAAAAAAAAAAUUCAAUUAAAUUAAAAAGGCAAAAUGACCUUCUGAAUCCUUGUACUAUAUCGGUUUUGUAAGUUGAUUACUUCUACUUAUAUAUUUGUCAUCUGAACCCACUAAAAAGCAACAUUUUAAAUUCUUUUUUGAUGAGUGUAACACAUUCUUCCCACGUGAGCUACCACGUCAGCUGCCACUUCUGCUCAUCUGUCAUGUCAUCUGUCACGUCAUUUAAAAAAAAAAAGUAUUACAUUAAACUCCAAGUUAUUUUUAAAAUGCUAAAUAACAAAUUAAAUAUUAAAAUUAAUUUAAUUAGAUAAGAAAAAUUUAUAAUUGUAGAAAAAUUUGAAUAAUCAUGUUUUUAUUUUAGCUCACAUUUUAAUUUUAAUAUUAUUUUUAUUAAAAAUAUUUUUAAAGUAUUGUUAAAUUUUUAAAAAAUAUUUUAAAAUUUUUAAAAGUAUUUUAAAAUUAAAAAACAUGGAGGGAAAAAAAGAACUCUUUUUUAAUUAUUUUUUAAUUUUAAUAUUAUUUUUAUUAAAAAUAUUUUUAAAGUAUUGUUAAAUUUUUAAAAAAUAUUUUAAAAUUUUUAAAAGUAUUUUAAAAUUAAAAAACAUGGAGGGAAAAAAAGAACUCUUUUUUAAUUAUUUUUUAAUUUUAAUAUUAUUUUUAUUAAAAAUAUUUUUAAAGUAUUGUUAAAUUUUUAAAAAAUAUUUUAAAAUUUUUAAAAGUAUUUUAAAAUUAAAAAACAUGGAGGGAAAAAAAGAACUCUUUUUUAAUUAUUUUUUAAUUUUAAUAUUAUUUUUAUUAAAAAUAUUUUUAAAGUAUUGUUAAAUUUUUAAAAAAUAUUUUAAAAUUUUUAAAAGUAUUUUAAAAUUAAAAAACAUGGAGGGAAAAAAAGAACUCUUUUUUAAUUAUUUUUUAAUUUUAAUAUUAUUUUUAUUAAAAAUAUUUUUAAAGUAUUGUUAAAUUUUUAAAAAAUAUUUUAAAAUUUUUAAAAGGAUUUUAAAAUUAAAAAACAUGGAGGGAAAAAAAGAACUCUUUUUUAAUUAUUUUUUAAUUUUAAUAUUAUUUUUAUUAAUUUUUUAUUAUUUUAAUGUAAAAUUGACUAAAAAUUGACUUCACUCGCACCUCAGGCGAGUGGCUACACUCUCUUUAUGCUAGUCAUCAUUUCAAUGAACAUAGAUAAGGUUAACGGUUCAAGGGUUCAGAUAAUAAAAAUAUAAGUAGAAAUGUCAACUAACAAAAUCAACAUCGUACAAGGAUUCAGAAGAUAUUUUAUCAAUUAAAAAAAAACAAAUCUAAUCUCUACCCUCGCCGCCCCAGCCCUCACCCCAACCCCCAACCCUCACCCCUACCCCUACCCCUACCCCUUCUUCUUCCCCAUUUCUUUUACAACUUAAUCUCCAUUAUUUUAUACUAACUGAUCUGUGUAUCUCCAUUAUUUUAUACUAACUGAUCUGUGUUGUUUUUUACAACGUUUUUCUUUCAUUUGAGCAGAGUGAAAAUCAGCCUCUGUACAUGCCUAACUAGUAGUUGGCUGUUAAUUGUAAAUAGUAGUACCAUUUACUCGUUACUCAGAAUCUGCAAUGUCUUCUUUGGCUGCGCUCAGUUCUAGCCUCUUCAAUGGAGGAGCUUCCACUUGGAAAUAUCAGGUCAACAUUAUUAUACCUCAGUUUUUCAAUCCAGAUUUUGUAUUGUUUUUUUCCUAAAAUUAGUUGGGAAAAAUCCAGGCUUUAUGAAUUUUUAUAUAAUAAUCUUUUCGUUUCGUUUUAGUUGGCCUCUUUCUAAAAAUAUGAGGAGUUUACUAUGUUCUUCUAAUACUAUUUUUAAUAUUAAAUGACUAAACAAAGUAUAUUUACUCAAAUUUAAAUUUUUAAAAUAUAAUUAAUAAGAUUAAUUUAGUAAAAUAAAAUUUCUAAUUAAUAUCUUUUUAGUGGGUGUGUCAAGUCAAUAAAGAUCAACUAAUAUAAAAUAGAGGAAAUAAUUCAACUGAAAAUUAGCUUAGCUUGCUGUUUGUUUUACUGCUUUGUUGGAGGAGAUGAAUGUGUCUAAGGUUGGGAAGCUCAGACUUAGAGUUACUUCAAUGCGGCGGCGGCGUCAUCACCAGCGCAAAUACAAGCUUUGCAGAUAAUAAAGCUAAUAAAUUGGACAAUUGUAGGGUGAGGGUUGUGAAGAAGAUAAUGAAAGGGGUGAAGAAGACAAUGAGGGGUUGCCUUUCUUUUAAAUUAAGAAAUUAGGAUAAUUAAAGAUUAUAUUAAUAAAAUAAUUUAAAUAUAAUUUUUUAAAUUAAAAANNNNN